UACGGAGGGUGCAAGCGUUGCUCGGAAUUAUUGGGCGUAAAGGGUAGGUAGGUGGUCUCAUUUGUCUCAUGUGAAAGCCUUGGGCUUAACCCAAGAAGUGCGUGAGAAACGGUGAGACUAGAGUACUGGAGAGGCUAGUGGAAUUCCCGGUGUAGCGGUGAAAUGCGUAGAGAUCGGGAGGAACACCUGCGGUGUAGACGGCUUUCUGGACCAUUGUUGACGCUGAGACACGAAAGCGUGGGUAGCAAACAGG
rnacentral:rRNA from 1 species